GGGAUCAUUGCUGGAACGCGCCCCGGCGCACCCAGAAACCCUUUGUGAACUUAUACCUUAUUGUUGCCUCGGCGAAGGCCGGCCUCUCUUUCUGAGGCCCCCCGGAGACGGGGAGCAGCCCGCCGGCGGCCAACCAAACUCUUGUUUCUUAGUGAAUCUCUGAGUAAAAAAACAUAAAUGAAUCAAAACUUUCAACAACGGAUCUCUUGGUUCUGGCAUCGAUGAAGAACGCAGCGAAAUGCGAUAAGUAAUGUGAAUUGCAGAAUUCAGUGAAUCAUCGAAUCUUUGAACGCACAUUGCGCCCUCUGGUAUUCCGGAGGGCAUGCCUGUUCGAGCGUCAUUUCAACCCUCAAGCCUGGCUUGGUGUUGGGGCACUGCUUCGAGAGAAGCAGGCCCUGAAAUCUAGUGGNGAGCUCGCUAGGACCCCGAGCGUAGNANUUNUAUCUCGUUCUGGAAGGCCCUGGCGGUGCCCUGCCGUUAAACCCCCAACUUCUGAAAUUUUGACCUCG
rnacentral:rRNA from 1 species